GACGAACGCUGGCGGCGUGCCUAAUACAUGCAAGUCGAACGAACUCUGGUAUCGAUUGGUGCUUGCAUCAUGAUUUACAUUUGAGUGAGUGGCGAACUGGUGAGUAACACGCGGUAAACCUGCCCAGAAGCGGGGGAUAACACCUGGAAACAGAUGCUAAUACCGCAUAACAACUUGGACCGCAUGGUCCGAGCUUGAAAGAUGGCUUCGGCUAUCACUUUUGGAUGGUCUCGCGGCGUAUUAGCUAGAUGGUGGGGUAACGGCUCACCAUGGCAAUGAUACGUAGCCGACCUGAGAGGGUGAUCGGCCACAUUGGGACUGAGACACGGCCCAAACUCCUACGGGAGGCAGCAGUAGGGAAUCUUCCACAAUGGACGAAAGUCUGAUGGAGCAACGCCGCGUGAGUGAAGAAGGGUUUCGGCUCGUAAAACUCUGUUGUUAAAGAAGAACAUAUCUGAGAGUAACUGUUCAGGUAUUGACGGUAUUUAACCAGAAAGCCACGGCUAACUACGUGCCAGCCGCCGCAGUAAGAC
rnacentral:rRNA from 1 species